GUUUAAGUUUUAAUUGACUUAUUUCCUGUUUAUUCAUGUUUAUUGUAGGAAUCUUGAAAAAUAUAGAAAAUCAUAAGAAGAAAGCAAAAAUACUCAUAAUCCCACACAACCUAGAAAUAACAGCUAUCAAUACUCUUCUCUUUAUUUCCCAAUAGUUUAUUCUAUGUAUUAGCUGUGUUGAGAAUAGAAAAAAAACAAAGGUGAAAGUAAUGGGCUACAAGGGUGACAAUUGCUAUUUUUGAGUUGUGGGUUGUGGAGGAUUUAUAUGACACAGUUAAUACUAUGAAUACAAUUUUGCAUUCUGCUUUAACUUGCUAUUAUGACAUGUCUAGGCUGUUUUAUUAAUUUUUCUUUGCAAACUUUCUUCAUAAUGGCAGUGUAACAUUCCAGAAUGAGUGUUCUGUCAUUCAUUUAACCAACUACCACUAGGGGGUAUGCUGGGAGGACAUGGGGCAUGUCUGAUUUUGUUCACAUCUUGGUCCCCAGCACCUGUCACAGGGCCUGGACCAUUGUAAGCACUCAGUAAUAUUUGCUGAAUGAAGGAAUUGUUAGCCAUUUAGGUUAUACCUGGAUUUUUUGCUUUUUCAUAUGUAAAGUUUUACUAAAAAUCUUUGCUCACAGAUCUUUCUCAGGUCUAUGAUUUCCCCCUAUUCUGUGUCGGUUUCUUCUAGGUUCUGCUCUAGCGUCUAUGGUUCGGCCAAUAUAUAUCAUCAGACCAAAAGGAUAAAUCUGCCAGAUGCUUGGGCUACAGGCUAAAUGAAGCCAGACCUGGACCUGUGAAAGGGGCCAAAGAGACUUCAUGUAUUCUUCCACCACCCUGGAGAGGAAACAAGAAGACUGCGCAGGUUCCAUGCCUUUGCAUUUCAGGGAAUACAGAUGUGGCAGGGAAGAUUUUUAAGGUUAAAAAUCUGCACUAUAGGGACUUCCCUGGUGGCACAGUGGUUAAGAAUCCUCCUGCCAAUGCAGUGGACACGGGUUUGAGCCCUGGUGCA